rnacentral:lncRNA from 1 species
CUUGAGUCAUCCUUUUGGUUUGAGAAUAAUAUCAGUAAAUUUAUGUUUACUCUUAGUUACUCAUGAAAAUAGUAUGAUAGGAUAUGUCUGGGGUAAAUAGAUAAGCUGCUCCUGAUGUUGAUUUUAGCUACUGAUCUGAGCUAGCUGCAACAUCAGGAGCAGCCAGGAUAUGUUGCUGCUAGCUCAGAUCACAAGAGUCUGUUGCAGCACAGCCUAUCUCAUUGCAGCAUAAUGUUGUGUUGGUGAUAAACUUUUUUGGCCAUACCACAAGGUAGUUUCGCAACUAUUCUUUUUCUACUGUAAUGCACGUGCAGAUCUAUGAAAAGCUCCAAUGAUUGAGGGAUAUCACGUUUAAAGUAGCAUAAGUAGAGUGAGAAACUGCAUGGCCUAAGAGAUAGACUUACAUAGUUAUGUCAAUGCUAGCUGGUGAUUCACAUUACUUGGAUAUUGGACAAUAUCAGCUACAAAAAGAGCAGCAUAAUUAUCAUAUCAUGUGAAGAAGCCAUCUGUAAUUUCCAUCAGCAUUACAACUUUCCUUUACCUUUGCUGUGCAGGCUCUGUCUCUACAACGAUUAUGACAACUAUAUUUUCUCUGGAGAGCAGCCUAUGCUUUAUUGUCAAAGGAACAUCUAAGUUGAAGAGGAAUAGGUGUGUUUUCUUACUAUAAGGCUACAUAUAUUUGCUCUGUGCACAUUAUGGCUAAUGUUGUAGCUACUCCAGCAACUGAGAUAGCUGAAUAGAGAGCAUUUUCUAUCGAGAAAUACUUAAAUCUUAACCUCUAUGUUUACUUCAAUAUUUCUCUUAUAUACAUAACUGAUAUAAAAGAGAAAAAUAUCUUUAUCUAUUACGGAUUAUGCCCGGAUAAAAUAAAAGAUAAUUUCAAUGAAUUAAAAGUCACUGAAACUCUAACUACAUAUUUUGCUUUUGGUUUUAUAUUCCUAAAAUGAUCAACUUCUUUAUAUCCACCAUUAGCUUGCUACAGUUGAAAACCAAAGAACCAGUUCAAUAAAUGGGAGAUUGAAUGCAGGAGUAGUGCUGUAAGCCUGUAACACCCUACAUCUCUGUUUUAAUUUAAAUUAAUACUGCUGGCUAUGCUUUUUUUGUAUUGUUAUUAGUGGCUGAUAACAAUAUUACAUAUUGUACAGAAUCUUAAAGAAACAUUAAAAUGAUUCGAGGAUGCAUCUAAUUACUAGACACUCAUAACUUCACUAAUGCUUGAUUCUAAUUGCAGAAAUUGCAUGUUUUCUGCGUGUCUACAUUCUUUUAGUUGAUUUUUUCUUAUGGAGUGCAUUGUUGUCUUCAUGUGAGAUACCA